UGGAGAGUUUGAUCCUGGCUCAGGACGAACGCUGGCGGCGCGCCUAACACAUGCAAGUCGAGGGAGAACCGGACCUUCGGGUCCGGGGAGACCGGCGAACGGGUGAGUAACACGUGAGGAACCUGCCCUGUAGACCGGAAUAACCACGGGAAACUGUGGCUAAUGCCGGAUGAUCUCGAGUGCCCACAUGGACGCUCGAGGAAAUGGUCAGCCGCUACAGGAUGGCCUCGCGGCCUAUCAGCUUGUUGGUGGGGUAACGGCCCACCAAGGCGACGACGGGUAGCUGGCGUGAGAGCGCGACCAGCCACACUGGGACUGAGACACGGCCCAGACUCCUACGGGAGGCAGCAGUGGGGAAUCUUGC
rnacentral:rRNA from 1 species